GAUGAGCCCGCGGCCUAUCAGCUUGUUGGUGGGGUGAUGGCCUACCAAGGCGACGACGGGUAGCCGGCCUGAGAGGGUGAUCGGCCACAUUGGGACUGAGAUACGGCCCAGACUCCUACGGGAGGCAGCAGUGGGGAAUAUUGCACAAUGGGCGGAAGCCUGAUGCAGCGACGCCGCGUGAGGGAUGACGGCCUUCGGGUUGUAAACCUCUUUCAGCAGGGACGAAGCGUAAGUGACGGUACCUGCAGAAGAAGCACCGGCUAACUACGUGCCAGCAGCCGCGGUAAUACGUAGGGUGCGAGCGUUGUCCGGAAUUACUGGGCGUAAAGAGCUCGUAGGCGGUUUGUCGCGUCUGCUGUGAAAUCCCGAGGCUCAACCUCGGGCUUGCAGUGGGUACGGGCAGACUAGAGUGCGGUAGGGGAGAUUGGAAUUCCUGGUGUAGCGGUGGAAUGCGCAGAUAUCAGGAGGAACACCGAUGGCGAAGGCAGAUCUCUGGGCCGUAACUGACGCUGAGGAGCGAAAGCGUGGGGAGCGAACAGGAUUAGAUACCCUGGUAGUCCACGCCGUAAACGUUGGGCGCUAGAUGUAGGGACCUUUCCACGGUUUCUGUGUCGUAGCUAACGCAUUAAGCGCCCCGCCUGGGGAGUACGGCCGC
rnacentral:rRNA from 1 species